GAUGAACGCUGGCGGCGUGCCUAAUACAUGCAAGUCGAGCGAACGGACGAGAAGCUUGCUUCUCUGAUGUUAGCGGCGGACGGGUGAGUAACACGUGGAUAACCUACCUAUAAGACUGGGAUAACUUCGGGAAACCGGAGCUAAUACCGGAUAAUAUUUUGAACCGCAUGGUUCAAAAGUGAAAGACGGUCUUGCUGUCACUUAUAGAUGGAUCCGCGCUGCAUUAGCUAGUUGGUAAGGUAACGGCUUACCAAGGCAACGAUGCAUAGCCGACCUGAGAGGGUGAUCGGCCACACGGGAACUGAGACACGGUACAGACUCCUACGGGAGGCAGCAGUAGGGAAUCUUCCGCAAUGGGCGAAAGCCUGACGGAGCAACGCCGCGUGAGUGAUGAAGGUCUUCGGAUCGUAAAACUCUGUUAUUAGGGAAGAACAUAUGUGUAAGUAACUGUGCACAUCUUGACGGUACCUAAUCAGAAAGCCACGGCUAACUACGUG
rnacentral:rRNA from 1 species